UUUUUAGUUUGAUUCUGGCUCAGGAUGAACGCUGGCGGCGUGCCUAAUACAUGCAAGUCGAGCGAAUGGAUUAAGAGCUUGCUCUUAUGAAGUUAGCGGCGGACGGGUGAGUAACACGUGGGUAACCUGCCCAUAAGACUGGGAUAACUCCGGGAAACCGGGGCUAAUACCGGAUAACAUUUUGAACCGCAUGGUUCGAAAUUGAAAGGCGGCUUCGGCUGUCACUUAUGGAUGGACCCGCGUCGCAUUAGCUAGUUGGUGAGGUAACGGCUCACCAAGGCAACGAUGCGUAGCCGACCUGAGAGGGUGAUCGGCCACACUGGGACUGAGACACGGCCCAGACUCCUACGGGAGGCAGCAGUAGGGAAUCUUCCGCAAUGGACGAAAGUCUGACGGAGCAACGCCGCGUGAGUGAUGAAGGCUUUCGGGUCGUAAAACUCUGUUGUUAGGGAAGAACAAGUGCUAGUUGAAUAAGCUGGCACCUUGACGGUACCUAACCAGAAAGCCACGGCUAACUACGUGCCAGCAGCCGCGGUAAUACGUAGGUGGCAAGCGUUAUCCGGAAUUAUUGGGCGUAAAGCGCGCGCAGGUGGUUUCUUAAGUCUGAUGUGAAAGCCCACGGCUCAACCGUGGAGGGUCAUUGGAAACUGGGAGACUUGAGUGCAGAAGAGGAAAGUGGAAUUCCAUGUGUAGCGGUGAAAUGCGUAGAGAUAUGGAGGAACACCAGUGGCGAAGGCGACUUUCUGGUCUGUAACUGACACUGAGGCGCGAAAGCGUGGGGAGCAAACAGGAUUAGAU
rnacentral:rRNA from 1 species